rnacentral:lncRNA from 1 species
GAGAGGAGGAGAAUUAUUUACCCAUCGCACCACCAAAGAAUAAAAAGAAAAAGAAACACCCGCGUCCCACGGACAAACACGGAGGACAAUGCUUCCAGAACACCACCCAUCCACAAACAAAGAUUCCAUCCCACGCACCAGUCAGCAGUCUCGAGUCUGCGCCACGAGCUCCAUGCAAAGUCAUGGCACUAGCUGUAAUCCACAUCCACUCGCUCAUAAUCACUUGACGGGAACCCAGAACACGCACUGCAGCUAAGGGCCUGUUUUCUUCCGCUUGCUAAACUUUAGCACCUGUCACAUCGAAUGUUUAGAUACUAAUUAGGAGUAUUAAAUGUAGACUAUUUACAAAACCCAUUACAUAAGACGAAUCUAAACGGCGAGACGAAUCUAUUAAGCUUAAUUAGUCCAUGAUUUGACAAUGUGUUGCUACAGUAAAUAUUUGCUAAUGAUGGAUUAAUUAGGCUUAAUUAGGCUUAAUAGAUUCGUCUCGCCGUUUAGAUUCCACUUAUGUAAUUGGUUUUGUAAAUAGUCUACGUUUACUACUCCUAAUUAGUAUCUAAACAUUCGAUGUGACACGUGCUAAAAAUAAGACACGGGAAGAAAACGCCCCCUAAGAUAUUUCUCCCUUGACCACCCCGAUCUCCAAAAAGCGAAGAUAUUUUGCCUCCGGCGCGCCCCGUCGCGCACGCCGAUGGGCGGAGACGAUUGGCC